CUUAACAUUUGAGUACACUUAGACAAUUAUUUUCAAUACUUGAAUUUGAUUUGGGUUAGGUUUAUACUAGGGUUGAGUUGAUUUGAUCCCAAUGUCCCCGAUUUCAUUUUGAAUAAUCCAAACUCAAUUUCAUUAAUUUUGUAAAUAUUACUUGUAAUUAUCUCAUUCAUUUUUUCCAGAAAAGAAAUUUGCAAAUUUGUUAGAGAUGUGGGAAAUUUGUUCUAUUAUGGUUUAUGGGGGAAACUGAAAAGGGUUUAUACCCUUCGUUUCUUUCUGAUAGCAGCAUCUUGCAUUUGCAAUAAUGUCAAUGCAGAUGUUCUUCCACUGCUUAAUGGAAUUGGAAAAAUCCUUGACUUGAAGGGCUAGUUGACUUGUAUUUGUAGCCAAGUGGACAGUGCCCCACAAGACUUAUCUAUAGACAGUUGAUUAGUCCAAUGCUACCAGCAAUUAUAUCAAAGGAAAACCAAAUGUUGCCCCAUUUCUAUAUUUGGAGAAGUCCAACAUCAAUUGUUGUAGACCACAGGCUUCGUCCUCUGCUAUGAAGAAGAAGUUGGCACUUAGUGGGAAAUAUUAAAUAUGAUGAGGACUAUUCACAUGGUCUACUUGGUGUUUAGCUAGUUUACGUGAUCGUCAUCUGCGAAUUAAUGCCUCUUUUAUUGUCAUUUUGUCUGGAUAUACCAAGAGGAUCUUCUUUGACUGGGUCGAUUAAGCAUAGCUCUGCAGGUUGGUCAAUUAUCAUAUGUUUUGCUGCUUGGAGGGCAUUUGAAAUGAAGAAAGUUAUCUGGGUUUGUGUUCUUCUACAUGGCAGAAGAGUCGGCAACCUUGUUGAGGGAAGAGGAAAAUGGGAACUUUGGUUGUGAAGACUUGUUCUUAAAGAUGGCUUCUAAGUCUAGAUAAGGAUGUGGUGGAACACUACAAAUCAAAGGAGUGACAAAAGGGGAGACUCAUGGAAAUAAAAUUUUCUGUUACGGUGAUGUGCGGAUGACGAAAUGGGAUUUUGGAGCGACCUGUUUGGCAGGGCAUUAUAUGAAUAAAGAAAAGUUGAUUUUCUGAUAAAGCUGGUCAUUUUCUCCCACGCACUAGCAUCCUAUGCUUCUUCUCAAGCCCACACCAUUUGAGGGUGUUUUGACACGCGUCCUCAUUUGAACGGUGGAGGGAGUGGGUGCACCCAACUAAAGG